AGAGUUCCUUUCUGGCUCAGGACGAACGCUGGCGGCACGCUUAACACAUGCAAGUCGAACGAGAGAAGAGGAGCUUGCUUUUCUGAUCUAGUGGCGGACGGGUGAGUAACACGUGAGCAAUCUGCCUUUCAGAGGGGGAUACCGAUUGGAAACGAUCGUUAAUACCGCAUAAUAUAAUUGAACCGCAUGAUUUGAUUAUCAAAGAUUUAUCGCUGAAAGAUGAGCUCGCGUCUGAUUAGCUAGUUGGUAAGGUAACGGCUUACCAAGGCGACGAUCAGUAGCCGGACUGAGAGGUUGAUCGGCCACAUUGGGACUGAGACACGGCCCAGACUCCUACGGGAGGCAGCAGUGGGGAAUAUUGCACAAUGGAGGAAACUCUGAUGCAGCGAUGCCGCGUGAGGGAAGAAGGUUUUAGGAUUGUAAACCUCUGUCUUCAGGGACGAAAAAAGACGGUACCUGAGGAGGAAGCUCCGGCUAACUACGUGCCAGCAGCCGCGGUAAUACGUAGGGAGCGAGCGUUGUCCGGAAUUACUGGGUGUAAAGGGAGCGUAGGCGGGAUCGCAAGUCAGAUGUGAAAACUAUGGGCUUAACCCAUAAACUGCAUUUGAAACUGUGGUUCUUGAGUGAAGUAGAGGUAAGCGGAAUUCCUAGUGUAGCGGUGAAAUGCGUAGAUAUUAGGAGGAACAUCAGUGGCGAAGGCGGCUUACUGGGCUUUAACUGACGCUGAGGCUCGAAAGCGUGGGGAGCAAACAGGAUUAGAUACCCUGGUAGUCCACGCCGUAAACGAUGAUUACUAGGUGUGGGGGGACUGACCCCUUCCGUGCCGCAGCAAACGCAAUAAGUAAUCCACCUGGGGAGUACGACCGCAAGGUUGAAACUCAAAGGAAUUGACGGGGGCCCGCACAAGCAGUGGAGUAUGUGGAUUAAUUUGAAGCAACGCGAAGAACCUUACCAGGUCUUGACAUCGUAUGCAUAGCUCAGAGAUGAGUGAAAUCUCUUCGGAGACAUAUAGACAGGUGGUGCAUGGUUGUCGUCAGCUCGUGUCGUGAGAUGUUGGGUUAAGUCCCGCAACGAGCGCAACCCUUACUGUUAGUUGCUACGCAAGAGCACUCUAGCAGGACUGCCGUUGACAAAACGGAGGAAGGUGGGGAGGACGUCAAAUCAUCAUGCCCCUUAUGACGUGGGCCUCACACGUACUACAAUGGCUGUCAACAGAGGGAAGCAAAGCCGCGAGGUGGAGCGAACCCCUAAAAGCAGUCUUAGUUCGGAUUGUAGGCUGCAACCCGCCUACAUGAAGUCGGAAUUGCUAGUAAUCGCAGAUCAGCAUGCUGCGGUGAAUAAGUUCCCGGGCCUUGCACU
rnacentral:rRNA from 1 species